UAAGCGGAGGAAAAGAAACUAACAAGGAUUCCCCUAGUAACUGCGAGUGAAGCGGGAAAAGCUCAAAUUUAAANUCUGGCGNUCUUUGGCCGUCCGAGUUGUAAUUUAGAGAAGCGUCUUCCGCGCUGGACCGUGCACAAGUCUCCUGGAAUGGAGCGUCAUAGAGGGUGAGAAUCCCGUCUUUGGCACGGAUGCCUGGUGCUUCUGUGAUGCGCUCUCGAAGAGUCGAGUUGUUUGGGAAUGCAGCUCAAAAUGGGUGGUGAACUCCAUCUAAAGCUAAAUAUUGGCGAGAGACCGAUAGCGAACAAGUACCGUGAGGGAAAGAUGAAAAGCACUUUGGAAAGAGAGUGAAACAGUACGUGAAAUUGUUGAAAGGGAAACGCUUGAAGUCAGUCGCGUCGACCGAGACUCAGCCUUGCCUUGGCUUGGUGUACUUCUCGGCCCGACGGGUCAGCAUCAAUUUUGCCCCUCGGAUAAUGGCAAGGGAAAGGUGGCACCUUUACGGGUGUGUUAUAGUCUCCUGUCGAAUGCGAGGGGUGGGAUUGAGGAACUCAGCGCGCACCUCAGUGUCGGGGCUUCGGCCCACGUCACGCGCUUAGGAUGCUGGCGUAAUGGCUUUAAACGACC
rnacentral:rRNA from 1 species